rnacentral:rRNA from 1 species
UACAGAGGGUGCGAGCGUUAAUCGGAAUUACUGGGCGUAAAGCGUGCGUAGACGGCUAUCUAAGUCGCGUGUGAAAGCCCCCGGCUCAACUGGGGAGGGUCACGCGAUACUGAUCGACUCGAAGGCAGGAGAGGGUAGUGGAAUUCCCGGUGUAGUGGUGAAAUGCGUAGAUAUCUGGAGGAACACCGGUGGCGAAGGCGGCAUCCUGGACCAACACUGACGCUGAGGAGCGAAAGCCAGGGGAGCAAACGGG